UUUUAUGCAUUCUUUUUUUCUUUUUGCUUCAAUUUUCACUUGAAGUUUGAUGUAAUAUCAUUUUCAUUUCAUACUUAGGUUUGUGUUUUUUGGGUUUUAUAAGGGAUAAUGGGGAAGGGAAUAAGCUCAUCCGAAGGGGUUCCAGAAGUACUGCAGACCCUUUACUCAAUAAUAAUCAUCUCUUUCCUUUUUUAUUUGUAAUGUGAUUCGAAUUGGGUUUGAAUUUAAAAAUAUAUCUUUCCUUCUUUAUUUGUAAUGUGAUUCGAAUUGGGUUUGAGUUCAAAAAUGUUGUUGGUCAGAAACAUAAGAUGUAUAUAAAAUUUAGAUCUUGACUGUUAUACUGCUUUUUCUAUGUGUUAUGUGAUAAAAUGAAUUGUCACAAUGUUAUUUGGUGCCUAUAUAUCGAUGAUUAUUGAUUCAUUUGUGUGUCACCAAUUAUUACUUUUAUUGAUACUUUACUAUUCAUAAAUUUUUACUACAAUCCUUCCUAUCCGCCGCAACGCGCGGGUUCCUGCACUAAUAUACAUUAAAACUUAAAAGAAAUGUCCCGUGAUUGUAUUUUUUUUUACUUUUGGCUUCACAUUGUGAAACAAACUCUUCGCCUUUCCUCGUCCAGUAAUGUCUAAUUAAUGGUCCACCCUCAAUCCUUCGUUUUUCCUCCGCAUAUAACGUGUAAUUAAUGAUCCACCAACUUUAACCAAAUCCUUCGUCUUCUCUCCGCACAUAACGUGUAAUUAAUGAUCCACCCAUCUUAACCCUAAUUUAAAUUGUAAAUCGUAGAAAUCCACGAAAAAGCCCCAUUCUCUUCUUCUCUGCUUUCUCUUCCUCCUUCAUGGGCUCCGAGGCCAAGAUUGAGCACGUGCUACGGACGAAGAAUGAGUUUCCGUGUUGCAUCGAGUUUGGCACUACCAUCUUCAUCAAAUCGAGAAUUUCUUUAAAUUUCAACAAUUCUUUUAAAAGAUUUACAUAUUCUUUAUAUUGUAGCGUUGAAAUUUCUUAGUUAGUUUUAUUCAGCUUUUUCAAAUUCUUUUUAUUUGCAUGGUAUUCGAACUAAUAUGUUUGUUGUGUUGAACGUUUAUUACUUUUUCUUUUUCUAUUCUUUGCUCCUUAUAUAUUUUUUCAAAAAUAAA
rnacentral:lncRNA from 1 species